ensembl:rRNA 5S_rRNA 5S ribosomal RNA
GUCUAUGGCCAUACCACCCUGAAGGCACCCGAUCUUGUCUGACCUCAGAAGCUCUGCUUGGUCUUGCCUGGUUACUAAUUGGAUGGGAGAUUUUGUUGGUUGAGAGGCUAGCUGAGGAUG